UUCUCUCUUUUUGUCCAACUCCUAAAGUCCGUCUCCUAGGUGGUCGAGGAAAGUAGUCCGUCCGGGAGGUACAAAAAGAAUCAUACCGGGAGAAAGAGUGAUGGGGGGUUGAAGAUGGGUGUCUGGAAGUGUCAUUAGACAUACAAGUUAUGCAUUCAGGAGAAUAUUUCCACUUUGAUAUUACGAGCCUCAUCUCCAUGAACCCAUCCGUCCUGAUGUCAGAACAUCUAGACCUGCUCUGUCACUCUUGGGGCUGUUCAUCCUGAUGGUUCAGCGCUAGCUAAGAUUGGGUUACCCUAUUGUAGAGUAUGCUGGAUGCUAUCAAAAUAAAAGUCAUGAUACCCAUCAGCAGAAUCACCUGACAAGGGUUGCUUGGAUAUUGAGUUUCAUAUGCCUCCUGUUUGUUCGCAACUUGUGAGACCUGGUCGGGCUGCCGACGAAGCACCUGUUAUUGCUAAAUCAAGAUACAUCGAAGACUCUAUUAGAGUUAAGAAGCAUCUUUAUUGGUAUCUUUGUUUUGUUUGUUUGCGUCUGGACAUGUUAGGCAAGAAGAACGAGCUGUCACAAUUAACAUCUUACUUACAGACUGUUGUCUGGAAUUCCCUUUCCAAUCUCAUUAUAAAGUGCCCAAGUACUAGGAAUAGGAUUAGUUAGUUUGUAGAGGAAAUGUGAAUGCUGAAAAGAAACUUUGAGUGAGACAGAACAAUCCUGCCACUGAACCAAAGUUGAACAACCGAUGCGAUUUUAACUGGGUGGGGGACUUGGGAUGCAACAAUUUAGUUUGAGGAAUCUAAUACGCAAGUUCUGACAUGCACCGUCCUGAGAAGAGUAUACAAGUUUGGAUAGGAACGGCAAACUGCUUAGCUUCUAAAAUAGCUGAUUUUGCAAUGUCAACCUAACUUUUUUUAUUUGAUUAGCUCAUCCUUACUACUCAAUUGCUACUCAUAAGUUCACAACUCAAACGCGUAACAUUUCCUCUGGUCAUUUUUUUCUAGAUUUUGUGACUAUGAAAUCUUGUUUUUAGUUUAAAACUGUUCAUUGUGCUGAAAAAAGAAUGAAAUCAAGAUCUUAACAAACAAAGGUGCAAUACUUAACUAUCAUCUUCAGAAAAAAAGGCAUCAGACACUAAUACUAGUAGUACAUAAUGGAACCCUUGGUAUACUCUGAUUCAUUUAGUAAUGCAUCUCGUGUGUGUUUCUGUUUACUUGGGUAGUUUUCCGAUUGGACUUCCUUAAACAUGAAACUGUUAUGUGAUGUUUCAUUUCGGGUUACAUGGUGUUGCUUAGGAAGUUACGAUAUGCUUGAUAGUUGAUUGACUGGUGUGCAUUUGAAAGUUGGAGUAAAUUUGGUUUUACAAGUACGAACAUGUUUAAAUGGCUACUCACGUUGAUUAUUGCAGUUCUGGAAUGAUCAAUUCGAAGGAGUUAUCCUUACUCGGCGGAAAGGCAACAUGGAAGGCUUACCUGGACAUAUGCUGUUUGGACGGAGAUGGCUCACGUUUCGAUGCUGCACUACUUUCAGCAGCUGAUGCAUUCUCUAGAUUGUGCAUUCCUGUCAUUGUCUAUGAAUGACGGGGGGAAAAGUAACUGUUUUCUCAGUUGGAAAUAAGGGGAACAAGACAGUACAUGAGCCACUGAGUAAAGAAAAGAGGAAGGCAGUGCAUUCCGUUGUCAUUGACAUGCAUUACAAGUAGUAUAUCUUGGCAGGCCCUAACUCAGAAGAAGAUUCCAUCAUGGAAACUCUUGGGACGGUGGUGUUGGGUUCAUUUAUCAGGCUUAUCUCUCUGUUCAAACCUGGUGGACCAUUUCUUGCCUCCACAUCAGUAGUUCAGGUCAUGUAGAAUUUGAUCACAAAAAGGGAUUCGUCAAGGAGAUCCCAUCUCCCCUUUCCUCUUUAUUUUGGUGGCUGAAAUCCUCUCUUUGAUGCUCAAAAAAGCUGCGGCAAGUGGACUUAUCUCUGGUUUUCAAGUGGCUCCAGGUGGUACCAUUGUUCACCACCUUCAGUUUGUUGAUGACCUGGUGGUUUUUCUAGAUGACUCGAUUGAGCAGUUAUGAAAGAGAUUGAGAAAAUUAUGCGGGACUUUAUUUGGGGUUCUUCUGCUACAACAAAGAAGAGAAGCUGGGUUUCUUGGACAAAGGCUACUUUAUCUAAGAAAAGAGGAGGAAUUGGCAUUAAGAAGUUAAAGUUGGCCAAUGAAGCCUUGCAUUGUAAGUGGAUAAGGAGGUAUGGCUCUGAGAAGAACUCUCUCUGGAGGAAGAUUGUUUAUCAGAAAUUUGGAGGGUUGUGCGUUGGAGACUUGGAUUUGCAAAGGAUAGAGUGAAGGAACUUCACCAAAUUCUGGACGAAGCCAAUGAAUUAUCAAGAGAGAAAUCCUCAAGUUAAAAGCAGCUAAACAGUUUUGGCUCUAAAUUUUGCAAAGUUUGUUCUUCGGUUUUUGCAUUGCUUCCUGAAGUGCAGUACUAUUUGGUCAAUCAACUUAGUAGAGCACACUUCAAGAGGCGAAUCAACUCAUGCUGCUUUUGUGUUUUGUAAAUGGCUAUGAUCGUUUUGUUCACUCGUAGUUUGAAAUGUAAAAAGUAACAACUUUAAUGGUAGUAGACAACAUCACAUCAAGAUUGCAGAUUC